rnacentral:rRNA from 1 species
UACGGGGGGGGCAAGCGUUGUUCGGAAUUACUGGGCGUAAAGGGUUCGUAGGUGGCCCGCUAAGUCAGACGUGAAAUCCCUCAGCUCAACUGGGGAACUGCGUCUGAGACUGGCAGGCUUGAGUGCAGGAGAGGAACGCGGAAUUCCAGGUGUAGCGGUGAAAUGCGUAGAUAUCUGGAGGAACACCGGUGGCGAAGGCGGCGUUCUGGACUGUUACUGACGCUGAGGAACGAAAGCCAGGGGAGCAAACGGG